CCUACGGGGGGCAGCAGUGAGGAAUAUUGGUCAAUGGACGAGAGUCUGAACCAGCCAAGUAGCGUGAAGGAUGACUGCCCUAUGGGUUGUAAACUUCUUUUAUAAAGGAAUAAAACGAGGCACGUGUGCCUUUUUGCAUGUACUUUAUGAAUAAGGAUCGGCUAACUCCGUGCCAGCAGCCGCGGUAAUACGGAGGAUCCGAGCGUUAUCCGGAUUUAUUGGGUUUAAAGGGAGCGUAGAUGGGGUGUUAAGUCAGUUGUGAAAGUUUGCGGCUCAACCGUAAAAUUGCAAUUGAUACUGGCAGUCUUGAGUACAGUUGAGGUAGGCGGAAUUCGUGGUGUAGCGGUGAAAUGCUUAGAUAUCACGAAGAACCCCGAUUGCGAAGGCAGCUUACUAAACUUUGACUGACAUUGAUGCUCGAAAGUGUGGGUAGCAAACAGGAUUAGAUACCCCAGUAGUC
rnacentral:rRNA from 1 species